GUGAUUUUUAACUUACCACCGUUCUUUACUUACGUUCAUUUUUCUUUGGGUAAAUUGUUCCUUUUAGUUAAUAUAUUAAAAGCGUCCAUUGAUUUCCGGUAAGCAUUGUUGACGUUUAAUUCAUUGUUGAAAAUAUGCCUAGAAAUGUAUCGUUGUAUGUCGUUGUAUGUUGUUUUUAUAUCCAUUUGUUUAAUAAAUGUUUAUUCUGUUGAUAAAGACCAGAAUCUCAUUAUUAUGCUUUAUAAUUAAGUCAAACCACUAUUACGUAGAUCUCAACUGUAUCACUAUGGAAAUGUCCGAGUAACGCCGCAUGAGCAGAAAGUAUAAAAGGGCGCGUUUCUUCUAUGAAUAGUCAGUUGUACUGCCGACUUCGUCGAGUUAACAUCGCGAAAUUAGGUAAUUAAAUUAUAUUAUUAACAUACAUUAGGGACUUUGGGCACAUAGAGACUGGCUAUCCUCUUCAAACGUUCUGAGAGCCUUGAAGUUGGAUUCCUACCCCUCAGCAGCCCGGGUCGCUAAUAGUUGAUAUAUAAGUCACAUACCUUCACACAACACUACAAGGCUCCAUACCUAGGGUAACGAGUCACACAGACUCGGAGUCAUAACGAAGUGUUCCGAGACAUAGGUCUCCAUACAUAGCUCCGAGACAUAGGUCUCCAUACAUAGACCCGAAGACAUAGGUCUCCAUACAUAGCUCCGAGGCAUAGGGUUCCAUACAUAAUCCUGAGACAUAGGUCUCCAUACAUAGACCCGAGGUCAUAAGCGUAAAUAGUGGGGUUCGAGGUCAUAUGAAUAUAGCAUUUGAUUACAUUUGAUUUACUGUUCCAAACCAAUUAUUGUAUUAAUAACCAAUCAUAAAGCAAGGUAGCUUGAGGAAAAUUUUAUACUAUUGUAUUGUGCUUUGGGUUAUUGUCUGAACCAUACUAUAAAGACCGACGCUCGGUCGAAGACACGUUACAA